UGUUGUUUACUAUUAGUUAAUGCAGAUCUAUAAAUAAGGAAUAAAGUUCUAGGUAGAAUAAUGAUUAUGACCAUCUUCAAACUAUAUGUCUUGACCAAAUCUCGUGCCAGCAGUCGCGGUAAUACGUGGAAGACUAGUGUUAUUCAUCUUUCAAAGGUUUAAAGGGUACCAAAACGGUUUUUCUAGCCCUAAACAGGGGACCUAUUGACUACAGUUCUAUGUGAGGAGGGGAGUACUUAUGGAGUAAAGAUUAAAUUUUCUUUUACUAAAAAGAAACUGGUGGCGGCAAAACCUUCCUUCUAUGUAUAAACUGACACUGAGGGACGAAGGCUUGUGUACCAACUAGGAUUACAUACCCUAUUAUUCCUAGCAAACAAUCCUGAAUGCCUUACAUUAAAUUAUUUUUGUUCUAUAAAUGAAAGUGUCGCAUUCUCUCCUCAAAAUUAUUGUGGCUCACAAGAACUGAAAUCAUUAUUCCGUUUCUGAUUCCGCUAUA
rnacentral:rRNA from 1 species